UACCGCAUAAAAACUUUAAACACAAGUUUUAAGUUUGAAAGAUGCAAUUGCAUCACUCAAAGAUGAUCCCGCGUUGUAUUAGCUAGUUGGUGAGGUAAAGGCUCACCAAGGCGAUGAUACAUAGCCGACCUGAGAGGGUGAUCGGCCACAUUGGGACUGAGACACGGCCCAAACUCCUACGGGAGGCAGCAGUAGGGAAUCUUCGGCAAUGGACGAAAGUCUGACCGAGCAACGCCGCGUGAGUGAAGAAGGUUUUCGGAUCGUAAAACUCUGUUGGUAGAGAAGAACGUUGGUGAGAGUGGAAAGCUCAUCAAGUGACGGUAACUACCCAGAAAGGGACGGCUAACUACGUGCCACAGCCGCGGUAAUACUUAGGUCCCCGAGCGUUGUCCGGAUUUAUUGGGCGUAAAGCGAGCGCAGGUGGUUUAUUAAGUCUGGUGUAAAAAGGCAGUGGCUCAACCAUUGUAUGCAUUGGAAAACUGGGUAAACUUGAGUGCAGGAAAGGAGAGUGUAAUUCCCAUGUGUAGCGUGAAAUGGCUUAAAUAUAUGGAGGAACAC
rnacentral:rRNA from 1 species